rnacentral:lncRNA from 1 species
GUGUAAACAUCUCUAUGGGGUGAUGCAUGCAGAUAAAUGUUUAUGUGAACAUAUAAAGUCUGCAUGUGUGGGUGAACACUCCACAUCAGGUCAUUGUCCAUCAUUACAUAUCUGUGGUGUCUGGCUCAUUCGUCUCGUUUUCUGUCAUUUUACCUACUUUUACCUGAAGUACAAUGACUAUUUAAUAACUAUUAAAUGUUUCAUUUCAGCUACACCUCUAUGGUAUUUUUUUCACCUCAUAUCAUACCUUCCUCCCUCACUGGACUUCAGUGUGGGACCUGCAGGUCUCAGGCCUUCUGGGAAGUCCCAGCUUUUCUUGAAUGUUUUCUCUCUCUGGCCAGCUCAGGCUGGAGCAGUGGGUGUUGGUGCCAUCCUGUGGCUAUAGGUGAUAAGCCGGCUGUUCUUCACUGACCUGGUCUUACCUUGAACCCUGGAGUUCUCACAUGCAUGGAUUUAAAUGCUGUGUCUUUCUAAGGGCACAUUAUGGCCAUUUUCCUUAUCUCCCUCCCAAGGGGCUGUUUGCUGUGUUUAUUGACUCCCUGUUUAAAAAACAUAUAUAUAUAUAUAUAUAUAGACGAAUUAGGUUGUACCCCAUAAAUUGCAUGUUUGAAAAAUAUUUCAAAGAAUAGUUUAUUUUUUUUUGCUGAUUUUUAUGUAUCUUCUAAAUUGUAUAUAUUUAUGGGGUAUAAAAUGAUGUUGUGAUUUUUCAAUACAGUGUGGAAUGAGAAUCAAAUUAACCUAUCCGUUACCUCAAGUACUUGACUUUUUUUGUGAUGAGAAGGCUGUUUAUCACUUUCACUCACCAGCUCCUGCUGUCUUCCAUGCUGGGGACAGGAAAGGCUCCACGCUUGACUUUCCCUCCUGUUUUCUUAUCUGCUGUCAACCCCUGAAUGUACCCUCCAGGAUUGCCUUCUAGACCUUCUACAUCUAGCUCGAUCAUUGUGCACCCACCUUCCUCCCAGGGACUGUCCUUAGGGAGUGACUUUAUGCACAAACUUCACAUGCUCUUCCUGCCUCCUUCAUCCCCAUAAGCCCCCAUCUCAGCCCCAUCUGAUUAUUUCUUCCCUGUCUCAUUUCCUGUUAUGCUGUUGGUUUUCUAACCUGAAGGGUAACUUCUUACUCCUUAGUUUUUUGCCUUAAUUUCUAAGUCAUAGGCUACUUUCAGGCUAAAAGUUUUCCUCCAGCCAUGGUUUUAGUCUCAUUCUAUAAGUCUUGCUAGGUAGUUUAUUCAUUGGAAAUUUUUUGUUUUUGAGACAGAGUCUCGCUCUGUCACCCAGGCUGUAGUACAGUGGUGCCAUCUCAGCUCACUGCAACCUCCGGUUCCCGGGCUCAAGCAGUUCUCUUUCCUCAGCCUCCUGAGUAGCUGGGAUUAUGGGUGCCUGCCACCACACCCAGCUAAUUUUUGUAUUUUUAGUAGAGACGGCAUUUCACCAUGUCAGCCAGGUUGGUCUCGAACUCUUGACCUCAAGUGAUCCGCCCACCUUGGCCUCCCAAAAUACUGGGAUUACAGGGGUGAGUCACCACACCCCACCCCUUGGCACUAUAUUUAAGUGAUGAUAUUUUUGGACACUGAGGUAGCCUCAUUCCACAGGUUUAGAUCUGAAGCAUUUUCACUAUUGCUUCUUUCCAUGUAUUUCCUGGUUUGCAGGUCAGUUUCUUCUUUUAAUUCAUCAUUGACACAGUGGUUUAUAUGGCUUUUAAUUUCAAAAGAUUUUUUAAAAUAUCUUUUUGCCGAUUUUUAUCUAUGUUAAUUUUAACUAGACAUGUUCCCUGGAAGGACAUCACUAGUUUUUUUUUUUUUUUUUUCACUCUGUUUAUAAUUUAGGUGGAUUUUCACAUCUCAAGCCAGCUAAGAGUAUGGGAAAUAGGACUCGUUAAAGCACAGAUAUCACACAAGUGAUUCAGAUUCACGAGGGUAAUCCAGAUGAAGGUAUAUCAUUGUACCUGGCCCGCAUCACUCAGUAACUGUCACCUUUGAUUUAUUGAUUUACUUGAGAUGGAGUUUGGUUCUGUCCCCGAGGCCGGAGUGCAAUGGCGUGAUCUCUGCUCACUACAACCUCUGCCUCCCAGGUUCAGAGUGAUUCUCCUGCCUCAGCCUCUUUAGCUGGGAUUACAGGCACCCACCAACAUGCCCAGCUAAUUUUUGUAUUUUUAGUAGAGAGGAGCUUUCACCAUAAUGGCCAGGCUGGUCUUGAACCUCAAAUGAUCUGCCCACCUUGGCCUCCCAAAGUGCUAGGAUUACAGGCUGGAGCUACAGAGCCCAGCCUGUCACCUUGAUUUAAAUGAAUGCAGCUUUCUUGGUGUCUUGAUGUUUGUGAAUUUCUGUGGAGUUUGAUACUGCUCCUUUUGCUGCUUGUUUUUCCAGAGUCCCCUUAUCACUUGACGUGCUGUUAUAUUAUGUUUGAUUUAUUACAGAUACCCCAUCAGCCUGAGUCUCUUAAAGGCCUUUAUACACAUAUGUCUACACAUAGGGAUUUGGAUGAUCUCGGGAUCCCACAUCCUCGCUGUCCCCUGUCCCCCCGCAACAUCCCCCACCAAUACCUUUCUGAAGUUUUCUAGUCCCUCCUUUUUGUUUGUGCUCCUUAAAGCCCAGCCCCAUGCCUGACUUUGGUUCCCAGUGAGCAUUGUACAUUUGUGGAUAUUAAAUCUUUGGCAAAGUCAUUUACCUGGG